rnacentral:rRNA from 1 species
CCUACGGGAGGCAGCAGUCGAGAAUCAUUCACAAUGGGGGAAACCCUGAUGGUGCGACGCCGCGUGGGGGAAUGAAGGUCUUCGGAUUGUAAACCCCUGUCAUGUGGGAGCAAAUUAACAAGAUAGUACCACAAUAGGAAGAGACGGCUAAAUCUGUGCCAGCAGCCGCGGUAUUACAGAGGUCUCAAGCGGUGUUCGGAAUCACUGGGUGUAAAGGGUUCGUAGGCUGGUUCGUAAGGCGUGUGUGAAAGGCGCGGGCUCAACCCGCGGACGGCUCAUGAUACUAGGCAACUAGAGUAAUAGAGGGGUAACCGGAAUUCUCGGUGUAGCAGUGAAAUGCGUAGAUAUCGAGAGGAACACUCGAGGCGAAGGCGGGUUCCUGGACAUUAACUGACGCUGAGGCACGAAGGCCAGGGGAGCGAAAGGGAUUAGAUACCCCUGUAGUC